rnacentral:rRNA from 1 species
UGGGGAAUAUUGCGCAAUGGGGGGAACCCUGACGCAGCCAUGCCGCGUGAAUGAAGAAGGCCUUAGGGUUGUAAAGUUCUUUCGGUAUUGAGGAAGGUUGAUGUGUUAAUAGCACAUCAAAUUGACGUUAAAUACAGAAGAAGCACCGGCUAACUCCGUGCCAGCAGCCGCGGUAAUACGGAGGGUGCGAGCGUUAAUCGGAAUAACUGGGCGUAAAGGGCACGCAGGCGGUUAUUUAAGUGAGGUGUGAAAGCCCCGGGCUUAACCUGGGAAUUGCAUUUCAGACUGGGUAACUAGAGUACUUUAGGGAGGGGUAGAAUUCCACGUGUAGCGGUGAAAUGCGUAGAGAUGUGGAGGAAUACCGAAGGCGAAGCNNGCCCCUUGGGAAUGUACUGACGCUCAUGCGCGAAAGCGUGGGGAGCAAACAGGAUUAGAUACCCUGGUAGUCCACGCUGUAAACGCUGUCGAUUUGGGGGUUGGGGUUUAACUCUGGCGCCCGUAGCUAACGUGAUAAAUCGACCGCCUGGGGAGUACGGCCGCAAGUUA